GAUGAACGCUGGCGGCGUGCCUAAUACAUGCAAGUCGAGCGAACAGACGAGGAGCUUGCUCCUCUGACGUUAGCGGCGGACGGGUGAGUAACACGUGGAUAACCUACCUAUAAGACUGGGAUAACUUCGGGAAACCGGAGCUAAUACCGGAUAAUAUAUUGAACCGCAUGGUUCAAUAGUGAAAGACGGUUUUGCUGUCACUUAUAGAUGGAUCCGCGCCGCAUUAGCUAGUUGGUAAGGUAACGGCUUACCAAGGCAACGAUGCGUAGCCGACCUGAGAGGGUGAUCGGCCACACUGGAACUGAGACACGGUCCAGAGUCCUACGGGAGGCAGCAGUAGGGAAUCUUCCGCAAUGGGCGAAAGCUUGACGGAGCAACGCCGCGUGAGUGAUGAAGGUCUUCGGAUCGUAAAACUCUGUUAUUAGGGAAGAACAAAUGUGUAAGGAACUAUGCACGUCUUGACGGUACCUAAUCAGAAAGCCACGGCUAACUACGUG
rnacentral:rRNA from 1 species